CAUGCUGUCAUGCCCUCUCUCUCUCUCUCUCAAAAACAAAUAAACAUUAAAAAAAAAAAAGAAUCUUAUACUUUGUAGAUUUCAGUAAUAUGAUGGAAAGAAAAGUAUAAUUCCAUUAAAGUAAGACAGGAAUAUAUAUGAAGCUUACUGGGAUCAAAGACAGUUAUUGUAAGAAGGAAAAAUUAGCUAUCUUACAGCAAGAUGGCAGACGCUGCUAAAGAUUGUAAAAAUGUUAGCAAAGGUCUUAGAUGUCCAAAAGCUGCAUAAUCUAUGUUUCCUGGGUGCUUCUAAAAAUAGCAUGAGGUGGUGAAAUGUACUAGCGAAGUGUCUAUACCAGUUAAUGGUAUUUAUUAUUAUUUUAUUGUGGUGGCCAAUGCCAAUUAAAAUAACUUAACAUGAUGAAUAAUUAAAUGGUAAAAAAAAAAAAAAAAAGUUGGCCUAAAAGUAAAGGUGGAGGGUAAAACUAAAUAUUUAGAAAGGUAAAUCCGGAGGGGAGAAAAGUUGAACUCCCCAGCAUUACACCAUGUGAUCUCCCAAGCCGGGAGAGAUUUAUUGCUUGAGGAGGAACUUUCUUGUAUUGUAAUUUUCUACUUUUAGAUCUAGGAGGUAGCCAGAGGGGUGUUAUCUCCCUUGAGGACACACAAAAGGGGAUUUCUCCUUUGUUGUAAAGUCCAUAGCAUUCUGUACUUGCAUGGUUUUAUUUACUAGGGUCUGUCAUAAAGUCCAUGAGGAAAGGACUGGAUCUUGUUCACCUCUGUGUGGUAUAUAGUACCUCACAUCUCUAGGUAGGAAUGAAUGAAUGAAUGAAUGAACAAAAGAACGAGCACUGCAAAAAAAUUGAGAAGCUUUCCUAUUUUAAGGUCUCUUUUUGUUCCCUGGUGGAUGGAUUAAUAUGUAUUUCAAAGGCGCUCAAAUAAGCACAUACUGAGCGACUAAGAAUUAAGAGUGAUUCAUUACGCUAGAAUUUUUCCUCCUGCAGGAGCCAGUCCCCCUGGAGUCCCUAGUCCCCUUUCCCUGGGACAUCUCAGCAGGAAAUUUCUACAGUAUGUCUCCCACAAGGGUGAUGAAUGUUAGAAGCAUUGCAGCAGACGGUGGCCGGGCCCACCCAGAUAGGCAGGCAAAAGUAAAUACCAGUCCUUAUUAGGAGCUCCUGGCUUCCACCUGUGCGUUGGCCUUGAAACACACGCAGCUUCCCGCUCUGUCACAGAAAGAAAGCUGACCUCUCCCGCCACCGCCUCCACACGACGGUUUUCCCGCUCUCCCGGAACUUCUAGUCUAGGCACCACUUCCUUCGCUCCUCGCUCAGUUGUGGGAGGAGGAAUUUACCACCAUGUACUGCCGCGCCCUCUCGUGGCCACAGGAGGAACUCAGCCAAGCGUUGCAGAGAUGCAGUGACAAUGGCAGAGGGCUCUGUUCAAGAAACCCUGGGAGCCUGCCUCCGCCCCUCAAGGACCAUUCCACACGUUCAUUUUUUAACUAGUUAUAUAUGUCAAAGAGGAGCAGAGGGACAGACGGAUGGAUUAGGGUUCACAUGAGCUGUGGCUGACAGAAUUCUGAUUUUCCAAAACUGGUCUAACACAGAGGUAGACAUGGUGAUGUUAGUUGGGGUGGGAGAAGAUUCAUACCAUGUAUUCGUUUAGUGACCCCAAAGAUUUCAAAAUAUAUUAUCAUUUGUAUUUAAUGACCAUGAAAUGCUCUAAACUAAUUAAGGUAUCAUGUUUUGAUUCACAAUUUUUACAUCAAACCAUUUCUUCCUGGGGGUUGGGAGGGAGGGGAAAGUGGGUGAUGGGCAUUGAGGAGGGCACCUGUUGGGAUGAGCACUGGCUGUUGUAUGGAAACCAAUUUGGCAAUAAAUUUCAUAUUUAAAAAAAUAUAUAAUUAGCCUAAGUGCUAAGUAUGUGUUUAUUUUUCUAGUGUUAUAUGGGCAUGUAUAUAAUGUGCCCAGGGAAUCUGACAAUUUGUAUCAAUUCAUUGUUGUCCUUGAUGCAGUAUUCAACUUUAUCAAUUCCUACAGUCUUAGUAACUCCGUAGCAUAGUUUUGUUUUUGUCUUAGGGAUCACCUAUAAAAACUACGUAUUUGUUCCCCAGAAAACUCCCAAGUGUAUAUGGUCACUAAUGAUAACAACUGUUUUUAUAUUCACCGAUACUAAGUUAAAGAUACUUAUAUUAUUCACUGAUAUUCGAGGGAAAAUGUACAGCAAGAGGAAAUAAAUAUAUUUGCUUCUCAAAACAAAACCCAUUUCUUCCUUGUUUUAUUCUCUAAAAAAUUCUAAGAUUUACCUGAUUAUAUUUGCAUUUAUCAAGCCUAUCUUUUAAAUUUUGUAUUCAUGGUUUUUCUUUUGUCCCUUUCUUCUGAAUCCUGGGAGAACUUUGACAUCAGUGAUAUGAUUUUUUUGAGCUGUCAAUUUUUUUAAUUAUGUUUUAGCUCUUACCAAUGCUUCUUACAGUUGUGAAGUUUUGGUACUCAACAUUGUUUGAUUCAAUUAUAUGCAGUUUUGUUUUUUAGUGGGGGAGAAAAAAUUUGUUUUCCUAAUAGAAAGUAUUUCUGAAAACUUAUGCUUACUGUAUAAAAUAAAUUAAUUUAUUAAAAUUGAAAUCAGAGGGGCAGCAUAAUAAAUAAAAAUUUUAAUUUACUGCUUUAGUGUGUCAUGCGGUCUUUUUCUCAUCAUUUCUUGCAUUGUUUUGCAGCAGAUUUGUUGGAUUUACACAUCUGUAAUUAUCCUGUCAUUAAAUAAUAAUACACGCA